rnacentral:rRNA from 1 species
GACGAACGCUGGCGGCGUGCUUAACACAUGCAAGUCGAACGAUGAAGCUGGAGCUUGCUCUGGUGGAUUAGUGGCGAACGGGUGAGUAACACGUGAGUAACCUGCCCUGGACUCUGGGAUAACCCCGAGAAAUCGGAGCUAAUACCGGAUAGGACCUUGGAUCGCAUGAUCUGGGGUGGAAAGUUUUUCGGUCUGGGAUGGACUCGCGGCCUAUCAGCUUGUUGGUGAGGUAAUGGCUCACCAAGGCGUCGACGGGUAGCCGGCCUGAGAGGGUGACCGGCCACACUGGGACUGGGACACGGCCCAGACUCCUACGGGAGGCAGCAGUGGGGAAUAUUGCACAAUGGGCGCAAGCCUGAUGCAGCAACGCCGCGUGCGGGAUGACGGCCUUCGGGUUGUAAACCGCUUUUAGUAAGGAAGAAGCCGCAAGGUGACGGUACUUGCAGAAAAAGGACCGGCUAACUACGUGCCAGCCGCCGCCGUAACAC